UGAGGAAGUAAGGGUGACUGGGACCCUGGGUGGCAGUGACCAUGCUAUCAUUGAGUUUUGGAUAACGAAAGGAGGAAGAUCUGAGAGGACUCAGACUUCAAGGUUAGACUUCAGAGGAGCAGAUUUUGAUGGACUCAGAAGGAGGGUAGGAAGGAUCCAUUGGCUGGAUGUCUUAAAGGACAGAAAUGUCCAGGAAGGAUGGGAAAUUUUGAGAAAGGAGAUUCUAGAGGCACAAUCUUUAACAAUUCCUAAAAGAAGAAAGAAUGGCAAGCAUCUAAAGAGACCAGGGUGGAUGAACCCUGAACUUAAUCACUUGCUAAAAAGAAAAAAAGAAAUGUUUAAAAAAUGGAAAGAGGGGGACAUAUCAAAAGAAGAAUAUAAUGCAAUCUGCAGGAACUGCAGGAUAAGUGUCAGAAAGGCUAAAGCUAAAAAUGAAUUGAGGAUUGCAAGAGAGGCCAAAAACAAUAAAAAAGGCUUUUGGGGGUAUGUCAGAAGCAAAAGAAAAGUCAAAGAAGCUAUAGGACCUUUACAGGAUGAGAAGGGUGAUUUGGUCAAAAAUGACAUUCAGAAGGCAGAACUUCUGAACUCCUAUUUUGCAUCUGUUUUCUCUCAGAAAGGAAAUGAAACAUCAGUUGGCCUUCACUGUGCUGUUGAGGGAAUAAGAGAAUCAAGGCUCUGUAUGGACAAGGAGAAGGUGAGGGAACACUUAGCAAACUUAAAUGAAUUCAAGUCUCCAGGUCCAGAUGAAUUACAUCCUAGGGUGCUGAAGGAAUUAGCUGAUAUAAUUGCUGAACCACUCUCUGUGAUAUUUGAGAACUCAUGGAAAACAGGAGAAGUCCCAGAAGAUUGGAGAAGGGCGAAUGUUGUACCUAUCUUUAAAAAAGGAAAGAAGGCUGACCCAGGCAACUACAGGCCUGUGAGCCUGACUUCAAUACCAGGCAAGAUCCUUGAACAAAUCAUUAAACAGCAUAUAUGGGAACACUUGGAUGGGAAUGCAGUAAUUAACCAGAGCCAACAUGGAUUUGUAACAAGCAAGUCAUGCCAGACUAAUCUCAUUUCCUUUUAUGACAAAAUUACUGGAUGGAUCGAUCAAGGAAAGGUUGUGGACAUAGUAUAUCUUGACUUUAGCAAAGCAUUUGACAAGGUGUCUCAUACUAUACUUAUUGAAAAAAUGAUCAAAUAUGGGAUUGACAGGACAACUGUUAGGUGGAUUCAUAACUGGCUUAGUGAUCGUACUCAAAGAGUGGUCAUAAAUGNCUUCACAUCCNAUUGGAAG
ensembl:lncRNA